UACGUAGGGUGCGAGCGUUGUCCGGAAUUACUGGGCGUAAAGAGCUCGUAGGUGGUUUGUCGCGUUGUUCGUGAAAACCGGGGGCUUAACCCUCGGCGUGCGGGCGAUACGGGCAGACUGGAGUACUGCAGGGGAGACUGGAAUUCCCGGUGUAGCGGUGAAAUGCGCAGAUAUCGGGAAGAACACCCGUGGCGAAGGCGGCUCUCUGGGACGGUACUGUCGCUGAGACGCGAAAGCGUGGGGAGCGAACAGG
rnacentral:rRNA from 1 species